rnacentral:lncRNA from 10 species
GAGUUCAAGUGAUUCUCCUACCUCUGCCUCCUGAGUAGCUGGAGUUACAGGUGUGCAUCACCAUGCCCGGCUAAUUUUUGCAUUUUUUAGUAGAGACAGCGUUUUGCCAUGUUGGCCAGGCUGGUCUCAAACUCCUGACCUCAGAUGAUCUGCCCACCUCCGCCUCCCAAAGUGCUGGGAUUGCAGGCGUGAGCCACCUACUGCAUCUUGAACAGAGUAUAGCAUAUAAAAAAGCAGUUACUGUUUACUGAAUGAAUGAACAAUCCCCUAAUCCAAAUCCUGGAUUUCAGAUGAAACAAACAUGUAGAACAUGUGGAGCACAUGUUUUAGUAUUUGAGCCUUUUUUUUCCUUCUUUAUACAUCAUAUUCUCAGUACUCUAAAUACAUAAGUAGGAAUAUUAGUUUACUUAUAUAUCUUAUGGAUCAUAAUAAAAUUAAAUUUCACAGGAAAGCAUAAUUUCUCAAUCUGCUAGCUAUCAUAAAGCCCAUCAUAACAUGGAAGAAGUUGAAAGAAUAUAUAGACAAGUUAUUUAAAAUUUCUAUGAUCUGUUUUCUCAAAUCCCUUAGUCAUGAUUAGCUAUGGUUGUCUCCUUGUCAUAUUAACUAAGAGGAUACAGCCACUUCAAGACUUUAAUAACUUAUUUAAUGAAAUAAUUACACACUUUGCUCCUAAUUUUUAAAAAUCAUUUUUACACUACUUUUCUAAGUAAAAAAAAAAAAAAUAAGUAGCAACAUUUCAUGAAAUGCUGACAUUCUUGAUUCUAGUGGUAGUCUUUUCAACAAAAAGUUCCUUGCAGGUCACUCCCUAAGACCACAGUGACUGAGAAAAGGCUGAUAAAAUAGGUCUGGAGGGCUGGUAUAAAACCUUCUUAAGACUUCUUCACAUUGGGUAGGAAUUAACAAAGGAAGAAAAAAUUGCAAAAAAAUAAGCUGCAUGAGGGAGGGCAGACAUCAGACAUUAUGAAUUUGUGAAUUCCUUAUCUUACCACCAUGCAUGGCACAAAUAGGACACUUAAAAAAGCCAAUUGCUAUCUCAAGUCCAGUUCUAAAAGUUUUUACUUUUAAAAAAACACUAAUUUUUCUAUCUAAUAAGUCAACAAAGCCUAUUUUCUAAAGUUAAAUACUUCUAUUUUGGUAGAAACAAGUAAAAUUUCAAAUAAUGAACUUAAUAUUUUCUUUCCAGUGUUUAUGCAUGUUGUAAUAACCUGAGAUUACGAAUUAUAUUGCUCAUAGACUAUGUAAACCUCUCGGUCUUCGAGAAUUAAUUCCUCAUUGUAGUCAAUACUCCAAAAGUGUAUGAGUUAUGACUAAGCUACAGCCCCUUCUCUGUAGUUAUCAUUAAAACUCAAAUUCAACAGUUUACAUUUAUCUCAUUUUCUGCCAUCUUAAGCUUCUGGACAAAUAAGGGAAGAAAAAGGUAGCCAGGGGCAUGUCUACUGAGACAGGAGUAAUUUGAGUGUCUUACUUGCCACCAGUGCAAAACUUAAGGAGGGGUUUUAAAAACUCAAUAAUCAACAUAAAAUAAAAUAUAUUUAAAAAUAUAAUAUAUUUAAAAGUCAAAAUUAAUGCCAAAAAUCAUAAAAAACAGAAUAAAACUAGGAUCAAUAGAAAUGCUAAUCCACUCAUAAUCUAUUCACAGUCCAUAAGUGAGGCACCAAGAGGUCAUGCACACAAUGCUUCCUUGAAUAUUAGACCGAUGAGUUUCCUGGCAUCCUAUUCUCUCUAUCCAUUUGUAGUUUCUGCUUCCUCCUCCCUAACAAAGACUUUCUGAGGAGUUACCUGUGAAUUUAAAUAUACUCUUUUGGAGAUAGGACCAGAUUUCAAUAUGGCUUAGGUGUACCAUCAAACUGAUUAUACCCCAAACACCAGGCUAUGUAUUUUCCUACUUCUCUGUCAUUAAAAUAUGAACACAUCUGCAACAUGAAUUAUUUGAAAUUUAACCAUAUAUUUUAAAUGUUCUUUCAAUACAAUGUUCUUUCAAUACACAAUACAAUGUUCCUUAACUCAUGCACAUGGCAGUAAUCCGUUAUAUUUAGAACAUAUGGCUGCAUUUGAUAUAUCAAAUGUCUUUGGCAAGUGAAGUCAUCCCAGUUUAAUGAAAACUUGUCUGUAAGAUGACAUAGGAGAAAAACAAUAAUUUUCCUCUCAUUCUUCAAUAUAUUUCCUUCAAAUUUAUGUUGAUCUAAGUUGGCCUAAAAUUAAUAUUUUUCUAAAAUAACACAAGUAGUUAAAAUAGUCUUAAAGAAUUUAUGUAUAGGCAUCAAAAGUAUGAUAUUCACAAUUGGAAAGUAAAUUGUUACCACUUUUCUGGGGAGUAUUUUGGUGAUAUAGUUCAGUCUGUUAAAAUGUCCAUUACUUCUGACCCUGAGGAAAAAAUUUGUAAGUCAAUCAGAGUGACUCAAUAUAAUUUAACAUAUUAAGUACACACACACACACACACACACACACACACACACACUCAACUUUUAAUGGUGACAGUGGGUUGCUUUUCUACUCUCUGGAAAAAGUUUAAUUUUGCCCAGGUCAAGGACUAGAAGCUCACCAAACAUGGCACCAUCAUUUCCACCCAAUCUCCAGCAGAUCUAAGUCCCUACUUCCCAGUCACGAGGGUUGAAAGUACUCAGGCUGUUGACCUGCAGGCAGGGGCAGUCGUUUUUCUAUGACCACUUGGUUGGUGAGUUUCUUCCAUCCAGCUUCCUAGUCCUCUGUCCAGAAUAGUUUUCUCUCUCUCUCUUCACAAUUAGUGAAAGAAACCCUGUUCCUCUAAACUUCUUUCUCCCUUGCAUUUGAGUCACCACUCUGCCUCUUCCCCUUCCUCUAGGCCCGAUUUUGUAUAAUCAUUGUGAGGGGUAUAUAUAGAUAUAUAUCGAUAUAGAUAUAUAUAUAGAUAUAUAUAUACAUUAGAUAUAUCUAUAUAUAUAGAUAUAUCGAUAUAUAUCUACCUAAUAGUAUAGGACUGAUAAAAUAAGUUGUAGUAUAUUUAAAUUAAGACUACUAUGAAACCAUUAAAAUAACAUUUUUGAAAUAGUAAAAUAGUUUUGAAAUAAAGAUGAGUUUAAAACCCAAGAUUAAAAAAAUGUAUAAACUACAUGAUUGGAUAAGAAAUACACACAUAAUGACACGGAAAAAGCCAGGAAAGAAGUGCAAUAAAAUAUUAACAAAAGAUGAAAGCAAAUGAUGGGAUUAUUGGUAUUUUUCCUCCUUGUAAUUUCUAAUUUAUCUUUACUGGUUACAGAUUCCCCUUCCCCUUCCCCUUCCCCUUCCCCUUCCCCUUCCCCUUCCCUUUCCCUUUCCCCUUCCCUUUCCCCUUCCCUUCCACACAGUUUCGGUCUCAUUGCCCAGGCUGGAGUGCAGUGCCAUGAUCUCGGCUCACUGCAACCUCCGCCUCCUGGGUUCAAGCGAUUCUUCUGCCUUAGCCUCCUGAGUAGCUGGGAUUACAGGUAUCUGCCACCACACCCAGCUUAUUUUGUAUAUUUUUAGUAGAGAUGGGGUUUCACCAUGUUGGCCAGGCUGGUCUCAAACUCCGGACCUCAGGUGAUCCACCCGUCUCAGCCUCCCAAAGUGCUGGAAUUACAGGCAUGAGCAACCGUGCCCGUCAGCUUAUUUCUUUUAAAAAUCAGAACAAAACUUGGUUUAGAUGUAAGAAAUGUGGAAGAAAAGUAAUGUUUCACCAGAAUCUGAAUACAUGCAUUAUAUAUUAUUCCAUCAAGUGGACAAUUACUUGCUGAAUAAACCUGAUCAUGUACAGAUUCCAAAGUCGAAUUCUGGUUGUACUGAUUCUCUACACUGAAGUUUAAUAGUCUGUGCCCAAGUUCAAAUUUAGAAAGGAUAAACUGGAAAAUUAAUGAUAUUUUAAUGACUGUAUCUUUAUGCAGAGCCUUGUGUGCUACAUACAUUUUACAUACACUCCUGUAGGGGAUGGGCAACCAUUGUAGAACUAUGAGCAGAGAAAUGUUUGCAUAUGAGAUAACUCAGAUGGUAGUGAAGAAUAGUAGGAGAGGCCAGGCUAUGCAGGUGAGGAAGUGGAACCAGCGAGUCCUUUUAAAUUUUGUAAUUUAAUAUUGAACAGAUAUGACAUUGAUAAAUUUUUGUAAAAUUUGAAGAAUAAAACAAAAUAAACAAUCACAUACCUACCUUCCAACACAAGAAAUAGGACAUUGCCAGUUGCUUUGAAGAGUUCCCCGUCCGCUGUUACUCCAAUCCUAUCCCUCCUUUUCUCCACCAGAGGUAGCCACUGUCUUCAAUUUUAUGUUUAUUAUUACUUUGUUAAAAGUUCAACAUAUGUUUCACUUUCACAGUGAACAACUUGUAUGGCUUUUCAAUGGUUUAGUUUUGCAUGUUCUUGAACUUUAUAUAAAUGAAGGCAUGCUUUGUAUUUUCUUCUGUAAUGGGUUUGGUCAUUCAACUUUAAGUUUAUGAGAUAUAUCCAUGUUGAAUUUUGUAGCUGUGGUUUGAUGAUUUUUACAUUAUAUAGUAUUACAUUCCAUGGAUAGUUCUCAGUAGAUAAUCCUCCUAUUGUUUAACAUUUGCGUUGCUUCUCAUUUUGACCUAUUUUAAACAGGCCUCUUUAAAUAUACACUUCUCUGUAGUGUAUGCUAGAAAUGGAGUGGCUGGAAUAAAAGUGGCUGAAUCAUCUUCAACUCUAGUAAGAUGUCAAACUGUUUUCUAAAAGUGUUUUAUUUUAACUAUUAUAUGUCAAUUUUGAACAGCUCUUUCACUUACUAGCAAUUUAUUAUCAGCAACACUUGUUAUUGUCAGACUUUUAAGUUUUCAUUCACUGGGUAACAUGACAUCUUUUUGUGGUUCUAAUUUGCAUUUCCAUGCCUACUAAUGAAUUUGAGCUUGUUUUAGUACAAUUAUUGGUCAUUUUUAUUUCCUCUGCUGUGAAAUGCCUGUUCAGGAUUUGUUCAUCUUUUUUUAAAAUAGUUUGCAAAUAUGUUGCCUAGCUUGUGGCUUGACUUUUCAGUUUCUAGAGAAGUUCUUAAACUUCAAUGUGAUCAUAUUUAUGUUUUGCUCAUUUAAAAAAACCUGGUUAAAUAUUUCACAAAUCGACAUUAUGAUAUAUUAUCUUCCAAAAUUUUAAUAAUUUUGUCUUUUUUCACAUUUUAGUCUUUAGCUCAGCUGGAAUUCAUUUCUGUGUGUGGUGUGAGAUAAGUCUUUUUCAUGUUUUUCCCUAUGAAAUAAAUUAUUUCCUUCUGUAUUGCAGGUAGCUGAGACCAAUGAUGCUGACCUCCCUCAAAAGCUGCAUUUCUGAAUUUCUGAAGGCAAA